CAAGUCGAACGAAGUCUUUAGGAAGCUUUGCUUCCAAAGAGACUUAGUGGCGAACGGGUGAGUAACACGUAGGUAACCUGCCCAUGUGCCCGGGAUAACUGCUGGAAACGGUAGCUAAAACCGGAUAGGUAUGAGGGAGGCAUCUUCCUCAUAUUAAAGCACCUUCGGGUGUGAACAUGGAUGGACCUGCGGCGCAUUAGCUGGUUGGUGAGGUAACGGCCCACCAAGGCGAUGAUGCGUAGCCGACCUGAGAGGGUGAACGGCCACAUUGGGACUGAGACACGGCCCAAACUCCUACGGGAGGCAGCAGUAGGGAAUUUUCGUCAAUGGGGGGAACCCUGAACGAGCAAUGCCGCGUGUGUGAAGAAGGUCUUCGGAUCGUAAAGCACUGUUGUAAGUGAAGAAUGCCAUAUAGAGGAAAUGCUAUGUGGGUGACGGUAGCUUACCAGAAAGCCACGGCUAACUACGUGCCAGCAGCCGCGGUAAUACGUAGGCGGCAAGCGUUAUCCGGAAUCAUUGGGCGUAAAGGGUGCGUAGGUGGCACGAUAAGUCUGAAGUAAAAGGCAACAGCUCAACUGUUGUAUGCUUUGGAAACUGUCGAGCUAGAGUGCAGAAGAGGGCGAUGGAAUUCCAUGUGUAGCGGUAAAAUGCGUAGAUAUAUGGAGGAACACCAGUGGCGAAGGCGGUCGCCUGGUCUGUAACUGACACUGAUGCACGA
rnacentral:rRNA from 1 species